rnacentral:rRNA from 1 species
UACGUAGGGUGCGAGCGUUAAUCGGAAUUACUGGGCGUAAAGCGUGCGCAGGCGGUGAUGUAAGCCAGGUGUGAAAUCCCCGGGCUUAACCUGGGAACUGCAUUUGUGACUGCAUCGCUGGAGUGCGGCAGAGGGGGAUGGAAUUCCGCGUGUAGCAGUGAAAUGCGUAGAUAUCAGGAGGAACACCUGUGGCGAAAGCGGCUCACUGGACCAUAACUGACGCUGAUGCACGAAAGCUAGGGGAGCAAACAGG